rnacentral:piRNA from 1 species
CAUGAAGAACGGUCAGUGGCUCAAUGAUG